rnacentral:snoRNA from 1 species
AAUGCAAAUGAUGAUAAAACAUAUAGGGACAUCAGAACUCUCUUAAGAGUAAGAUGAUUUGUCAAUGGGAAUCUCUCUGAUGCAUU